rnacentral:rRNA from 1 species
CACCUUCGAAGGCUAAGUACUCCUGACUGACCGAUAGUGAACCAGUACCGUGAGGGAAAGGUGAAAAGCACCCCGACGAGGGGAGUGAAACAGUACCUGAAACCGAACGCCUACAAUCAGUUGGAGCAUCCUUGCGAUGUGACAGCGUACCUUUUGUAUAAUGGGUCAUCGACUUGGUCUAUCUAGCAAGCUUAAGCCGUUAGGUGUAGGCGCAGCGAAAGCGAGUCUUAAUAGGGCGAAUGAGUUAGAUGGAUCAGACCCGAAACCGAGUGAUCUAGGCAUGACCAGGAUGAAGGUAAGGUAACACUUACUGGAGGUCCGAACCCACACCUGUUGAAAAAGGUCGGGAUGAGUUGUGCCUAGGGGUGAAAGGCCAAUCAAACUCGGAGAUAGCUGGUUCUCCGCGAAAUCUAUUUAGGUAGAGCGUCAUCCGAAUACCCCGGGGGGUAGAGCACUGGAUGGGUAAUGGGGCCCCACAGGCUUACUGAUCCUAACCAAACUCCGAAUACCCGGGAGUACUAGAUGGCAGACACACGGCGGAUGCUAACGUCCGUCGUGGAGAGGGAAACAACCCUGACCGACAGUUAAGGCCCCCAAUUCAUGGCUAAGUGGGAAAGCAGGUGGGACGACCAAAACAACCAGGAGGUUGGCUUAGAAGCAGCCAUCCUUUAAAGAUAGCGUAACAGCUCACUGGUCUAAAUAAGCUGUCUUGCGGCGAAGAUGUAACGGGGCUCAAGCCAUGAGCCGAAGCUGAGGAUGCACAUAGUGCAUGGUAGCGGAGCGUAGUGUGACAUAGUUCCAUGCGUCUUUAGCCUUCUUCGGAAGGCGUUGGACGCAAGGAGCUUUCAGUGAAGCGGGCGCGUGAGCGAUCCCGUGGAGAGAUCACUAGUGAGAAUGAUGACAUGAGUAGCGACAAACAGGGUGAGAGACCCUGUCGCCGAAAGUCCAAGGGUUCCUGCUUAAAGCUAAUCUGAGCAGGGUAAGCCGGCCCCUAAGUCGAGGCAGAAAUGCGUAGACGAUGGGAACCACGUUAAUAUUCGUGGGCCAGGAGGAUGUGACGGAUCAUGAAGGUUGUUCACUCUUAUUGGAUUGAGUGGGCCGCUAAUUGGUUCCUGGAAAUAGCCCUCCAUCAGACCGUACCCUAAACCAACACAGGUGGACUGGUAGAGAAUACCAAGGCGCUUGAGAGAACUAUCUUGAAGGAACUCGGCAAAAUACCUCCGUAAGUUCGCGAGAAGGAGGCCCAGUGUUUACGCAAGUAGAUACUGGGGGCACAAACUAGGGGGUGGCGACUGUUUACUAAAAACACAGGGCUCUGCGAAGUCGCAAGACGACGUAUAGGGUCUGACGCCUGCCCGGUGCCUGAAGGUUAAAAGGAGGGGUGAGAGCUCCGAAUUGAAGCCCAGGUAAACGGCGGCCGUAACUAUAACGGUCCUAAGGUAGCGA